rnacentral:rRNA from 1 species
UACGUAGGGUGCGAGCGUUGUCCGGAAUUAUUGGGCGUAAAGAGCUCGUAGGCGGCGUGUCGCGUCGGAUGUGAAAGCCCGGGGCUUAACUCCGGGUCUGCAUUCGAUACGGGCAUGCUUGAGUGUGGUAGGGGAGAUCGGAAUUCCUGGUGUAGCGGUGAAAUGCGCAGAUAUCAGGAGGAACACCGGUGGCGAAGGCGGAUCUCUGGGCCAUUACUGACGCUGAGGAGCGAAAGCGUGGGGAGCGAACAGG